CGCCCUUCACCAAGGGCAAGUCACUAAACCUCUCUGUGCUGCCGCCCCCUUUUCUAUGAAAUCAGAAUGUUGAGAGUACUUGCCUUGGGACUUCCCUAGGGGUCCAAAGAAUCUGCAUUGCAGUGGAGGGGAGACGGGUUCAAUCCCUGGUUGGGGAACUAAGAUCCCACAUGCCCGCAUGCCGCAACCAAGACCCAGCACAGCCAGAUAAAUAAAUAAAUAGUUUUUUUCAAAAGAGUCCCUGCCACAUCGACUUGUGAGGAUUAAAUGAGUUUUUCUGUGCUAAGCAGUUAGAACCGGGACUGUUACCACCUCCCCUUCCACCUCGCCUCGCUGCCCCUCUCUGCCUCACACAUUUGCUUCAACAGCCAGGCUCUUCUUGUAGAAUUGCAAAAACCUUGGGAGCAAAUUGUGCUGUUUCUCCUCUUAGUGCCUGGGUCCUUCAAAGAGGCUGUGUCCUCUUCCCGACCUCAGCAUGCCCACCGAGCCUGCUGCUCGUGUUGCUGGCGUGUUUGCCUGAUUUCUUGUGUGUCUCCCCAGCUGGACUGAGAGCUCUGUGGGCAGGCCUGGGUCCCUGGUGCCUGGAACUCUGCCCAGCGCACAGCAUGCCCUCGAGGGGUAUGUGUCAACCAACCGAACGGAUGGAGCGCUCGCCCCUAGAGUGCUGGGUGUGGGUCUCCCCUGUAGCGGGGGUGCUUGUGUAGGGGACUUUGUAGUGUCGCCAUGUCCCAGAGAUACACAUCAACAUUUGUCUCACUCCCCUAGGCUGUCUACUAUACUGUAAUGGGCAUCAAAACACAGAGAUAGCCCAAGCUAGGGGACAGGCCUGGAACCUUCUGGGGCUACAGACUCACUGCUGGAGAGGACCAGCAGAGAGAGGAGGCCAAGGGGAAGGAUAACAGGACCCGAGUGGUGAGACGUCCGCUGUCGCCCAGCUCUCCUCGGGUCUUCGGCGAUUCGUGGGACCCUGGGACCUGCCCCCGGUGUGCCGCAACAAAGCUCCCUGGUCUGGAGUCAGACCACGGAGACGGUCCCACAGCUCUGCUGUGCCGCUNNNNNNNNNNNNNNNNNNNNNNNNNNNNNNNNNNNNNNNNNNNNNNNNNNNNNNNNNNNNNNNNNNNNNNNNNNNNNNNNNNNNNNNNNNNNNNNNNNNAGUCAGACCACGGAGACGGUCCCACAGCUCUGCUGUGCCGCUGCCCUGAGCCUCAUAAAAGGGGGUAAUGAUACCUAUUCCACCUUCCCCGUGGAGUCAUGUGGCUCAGAUUCGUCCACUCGCCUACUGUUUACCUAUCCAUCCAUCCAUCCAUUCCAUAAUUUUGAUCAGUAUCUUCUAUGCCAGGCAUGGCCCUGGUGGCAAAGGACAGACCUUUGCUUAAGACAUGCUUCUGGGGAACUUGGAGAGUUAUGAAGCAGACAAUGAAAUCAUGAAGUGAGUUAUGACCGAGAAAUAGAGUGCAGCAGGCAUGAAUGUGAUGAACAGGGGACAGGCCUCGUUAGGGUCCCCAGGAACCCUGCUCAUGUCGGGGUAACGGGUCUGUGGUCCUCACGGGCACAGGGCCCUGGCACCCGAUGCUGCUUCCUCGCUGCCCUCCCAUGCCAAGGACGGGCGCUGCUGCCCUUCAGUGCGGGCAAGAGCUUGCACCUCUCAGGACUUAACGUCGUGAAGCUCAAACUCCUGCCAGGCCCUUGUGUUUAGACCCAAGUUUAGGGUAGUUCAAGGUGUCUGGGAAGAGAAGGAAAACCAUCCGCAAUCCCUCACUACCCCUCUGGCAGCUGGGAUGGCCUGGCCCCAGAGAUUCUCCCUCCUGGACUCAUCCAGAAGCAGUCUAGCAUUGUUCAAAAGCUCCACCCUGGAGCUGGGUGGGGUUUGAAUCACUCCCCACCUCCUUUACUACUAGCUGGGUGACCUUGGACAAGUUACCUAAUCUCUCUGAGCUUCAGCUUUUGCAUUUGUAAUAUCCACACAUGUGAGAUUACAUGACGAUACAAAGUGCUUAAAACAGUAAUCGCCCAAAACAGGGAUCGCACGCAGCGAGCUCUCUUUCUGAGCGCUGCCUCGGCCAUCACCAUGACGCAUCGUGUGCUGUUUGUCUGCCUGUCCCGAGGUCUUUGAGGGCAGGGACCCUCUGACUUCCCCAUUCAUCUUGGUAUCCCCAGGGCCUGGCACAGGGCCUGACUCAGGGCAGACAGGCCGAAAUAUCUGUUGAAUGAUGACCGACUCAGCGGUCAGCGGGAGCGCUGGGACGGGCUGGGUAGAGCCAGGGCUGGGCGGGGCCCCGGUGCAGGGAUCUGCGGGGAGCUGUCCGAGUCACAGGAGGCGCGUCAGUGGCCACCUGGUCUGGUGCCAUGCUUUUCUCUUCCUGCUCGCAGCUCCCGAGUGCUCUGUGACCGUCUGCUGAGGCGGGAAGGGCAGGUGCUCAGGGAGGUAGAGGGGAGCCAGUCUAGAGGGUUCACGCUCCCGUCACUAAGCUGCUGGGCCAGGGAUAGCUAGAGGGAGUCCACAGGGCCCCGCAGGAUGGAUGAGGCACCCUGGAGUGGCCACGGCGGGCAGGAAAGAGGGGGCGGUCCCAGUGGCCACCAAGAUGAGAAGGGCGCCAUCCCCAACAGACAGGACCGUCUGUUAGCAGAGCCCGCCCCGUGCCCUGCCCACGCUGCAGGGGAGCGGGGGCCUGCUCUGCGCCUCUCAGGACUCCCAGCCCGGUC
rnacentral:lncRNA from 1 species